AGCAGCCGCGGUAAUUCCAGCUCCAAUAGCGUAUAUUAAAGUUGUUGCAGUUAAAAAGCUCGUAGUUGAAUUUCGGGAUUGACACAUCGGUCGUGCCUUAAGGGGUAUGAACUGGUGUAGUCAAUUUCUCACCUUCUGGAGAACCACGAUGCCCUUAAUUGGGUGUCGCGGGGAACCAGGACCUUUACUUUGAAAAAAUUAGAGUGUUUAAAGCAGGCAUUUUGCUUGAAUACAUUAGCAUGGAAUAAUAAAAUAGGACGGCAUGAUUCUAUUUUGUUGGUUUCUAGGAUCACCGUAAUGAUUAAUAGGGAUAGUUGGGGGCAUUAGUAUUCAAUUGUCAGAGGUGAAAUUCUUGGAUUUAUUGAAGACUAACUACUGCGAAAGCAUUUGCCAAGGAUGUUUUCAUUAAUCAAGAACGAAAGUUAGGGGAUCGAAGACGAUCAGAUACCGUCGUAGUCUUAACCAUAAACUAUGCCGACUAGGAAUCAGACGAUGUUAAUUUUUAAUGACUCGUUUGGCA
rnacentral:rRNA from 1 species